rnacentral:rRNA from 1 species
GGGUUGUGAGGUUAAGCGACCAAGCGUACACGGUGGAUGCCCUGGCAGUCAGAGGCGAUGAAGGACGUGCUAAUCUGCGAAAAGCGCCGGUAAGGUGAUAUGAACCGUUAUAACCGGCGAUGUCCGAAUGGGGAAACCCAGUGUGACUCGUCACACUAUCAUUAACUGAAUCCAUAGGUUAAUGAGGCGAACCGGGGGAACUGAAACAUCUAAGUACCCCGAGGAAAAGAAAUCAACCGAGAUUCCCCCAGUAGCGGCGAGCGAACGGGGAGGAGCCCAGAGCCUGAAUCAGCAUGUGUGUUAGUGGAAGCGUCUGGAAAGGCGCGCGAUACAGGGUGAGAGCCCCGUACACAAAAGCGCAUAUGCUGUGAGCUCGAUGAGUAGGGCGGGACACGUGGUAUCCUGUCUGAAUAUGGGGGGACCAUCCUCCAAGGCUAAAUACUCCUGACUGACCGAUAGUGAACCAGUACCGUGAGGGAAAGGCGAAAAGAACCCCGGCGAGGGGAGUGAAACAGAACCUGAAACCGUGUACGUACAAGCAGUGGGAGCCUCUCUUUAUGGGGGGUGACUGCGUACCUUUUGUAUAAUGGGUCAGCGACUUAUAUUCUGUAGCAAGGUUAACCGCAUAGGGGAGCCGAAGGGAAACCGAGUCUUAAUUGGGCGUUAAGUUGCAGGGUAUAGACCCGAAACCCGGUGAUCUAGCCAUGGGCAGGUUGAAGGUUGGGUAACACUAACUGGAGGACCGAACCGACUAAUGUUGAAAAAUUAGCGGAUGACCUGUGGCUGGGGGUGAAAGGCCAAUCAAACCGGGAGAUAGCUGGUUCUCCCCGAAAGCUAUUUAGGUAGCGCCUCGUGAAUUCAUCUCCGGGGGUAGAGCACUGUUUCGGCUAGGGGGCCAUCCCGGCUUACCAACCCGAUGCAAACUGCGAAUACCGGAGAAUGUUAUCACGGGAGACACACGGCGGGUGCUAACGUCCGUCGUGAAGAGGGAAACAACCCAGACCGCCAGCUAAGGUCCCAAAGUCAUGGUUAAGUGGGAAACGAUGUGGGAAGGCCCAGACAGCCAGGAUGUUGGCUUAGAAGCAGCCAUCAUUUAAAGAAAGCGUAAUAGCUCACUGGUCGAGUCGGCCUGCGCGGAAGAUGUAACGGGGCUAAACCAUGCACCGAAGCUGCGGCAGCGACACUUUAGUGUUGUUGGGUAGGGGAGCGUUCUGUAAGCCGUUGAAGGUGUCCUGUGAGGGGUGCUGGAGGUAUCAGAAGUGCGAAUGCUGACAUAAGUAACGAUAAAGCGGGUGAAAAGCCCGCUCGCCGGAAGACCAAGGGUUCCUGUCCAACGUUAAUCGGGGCAGGGUGAGUCGACCCCUAAGGCGAGGCCGAAAGGCGUAGUCGAUGGGAAACGGGUUAAUAUUCCCGUACUUGGUGUUACUGCGAAGGGGGGACGGAGAAGGCUAUGUUGGCCGGGCGACGGUAGUCCCGGUUUAAGCGUGUAGGCUGGUUUUCCAGGCAAAUCCGGAAAAUCAAGGCUGAGGCGUGAUGACGAGGCACCACGGUGCUGAAGCAACAAAUGCCCUGCUUCCAGGAAAAGCCUCUAAGCAUCAGGUAACAUCAAAUCGUACCCCAAACCGACACAGGUGGUCAGGUAGAGAAUACCAAGGCGCUUGAGAGAACUCGGGUGAAGGAACUAGGCAAAAUGGUGCCGUAACUUCGGGAGAAGGCACGCUGACACGUAGGUGAAGUGAUUUACUCAUGGAGCUGAAGUCAGUCGAAGAUACCAGCUGGCUGCAACUGUUUAUUAAAAACACAGCACUGUGCAAACACGAAAGUGGACGUAUACGGUGUGACGCCUGCCCGGUGCCGGAAGGUUAAUUGAUGGGGUCAGCGCAAGCGAAGCUCCUGAUCGAAGCCCCGGUAAACGGCGGCCGUAACUAUAACGGUCCUAAGGUAGCGAAAUUCCUUGUCGGGUAAGUUCCGACCUGCACGAAUGGCGUAAUGAUGGCCAGGCUGUCUCCACCCGAGACUCAGUGAAAUUGAACUCGCUGUGAAGAUGCAGUGUACCCGCGGCAAGACGGAAAGACCCCGUGAACCUUUACUAUAGCUUGACACUGAACAUUGAGCCUUGAUGUGUAGGAUAGGUGGGAGGCUUUGAAGCGUGGACGCCAGUCUGCGUGGAGCCGACCUUGAAAUACCACCCUUUAAUGUUUGAUGUUCUAACGUGGACCCGUAAUCCGGGUUGCGGACAGUGUCUGGUGGGUAGUUUGACUGGGGCGGUCUCCUCCUAAAGAGUAACGGAGGAGCACGAAGGUUGGCUAAUCCUGGUCGGACAUCAGGAGGUUAGUGCAAUGGCAUAAGCCAGCUUGACUGCGAGCGUGACGGCGCGAGCAGGUGCGAAAGCAGGUCAUAGUGAUCCGGUGGUUCUGAAUGGAAGGGCCAUCGCUCAACGGAUAAAAGGUACUCCGGGGAUAACAGGCUGAUACCGCCCAAGAGUUCAUAUCGACGGCGGUGUUUGGCACCUCGAUGUCGGCUCAUCACAUCCUGGGGCUGAAGUAGGUCCCAAGGGUAUGGCUGUUCGCCAUUUAAAGUGGUACGCGAGCUGGGUUUAGAACGUCGUGAGACAGUUCGGUCCCUAUCUGCCGUGGGCGCUGGAGAAUUGAGGGGGGCUGCUCCUAGUACGAGAGGACCGGAGUGGACGCAUCACUGGUGUUCGGGUUGUCAUGCCAAUGGCACUGCCCGGUAGCUAAAUGCGGAAAAGAUAAGUGCUGAAAGCAUCUAAGCACGAAACUUGCCCCGAGAUGAGUUCUCCCUGAGACUUUGAGUCUCCUGAAGGAACGUUAAAGACGAUGACGUUGAUAGGCCGGGUGUGUAAGCGCAGCGAUGCGUUGAGCUAACCGGUACUAAUGAACCGUGAGGCUUAACCUUACAACGCCGAAG